UGCUUGGGAAACUGCCCAGUCGUGGGGACGAACCAUUGGAACGAUGGCUAAUACCGCAUACGACCUACGGGAGAAAGGGGACGAGUUUACUGCUCUCGCUAUUAGAUGAGCCUAAGUCGGAUUAGCUAGAUGGUGGGGUAAAGGACCUACCAUGGCGACGAUCUGUAGCUGGUCUGAGAGGAUGAUCAGCCACACCGGGACUGAGACACGGCCCGGACUCCUACGGGAGGCAGCAGUGGGGAAGUAUUGGACAAUGGGGGAAACCCGUCGAUCCAGCCAUGCCGCGUGUGUGAAGAAGGC
rnacentral:rRNA from 1 species